rnacentral:rRNA from 1 species
GACAGAGGGGGCAAGCGUUGCUCGGAAUCACUGGGCGUAAAGCGCACGUAGGCGGAUUGCUAAGUCAGGGGUGAAAUCCUGGAGCUCAACUCCAGAACUGCCUUUGAUACUGGCGAUCUCGAGUCCGGGAGAGGUGAGUGGAACUGCGAGUGUAGAGGUGAAAUUCGUAGAUAUUCGCAAGAACACCAGUGGCGAAGGCGGCUCACUGGCCCGGUACUGACGCUGAGGUGCGAAAGCGUGGGGAGCAAACA